AGUGAACGCUGGCGGUAGGCCUAACACAUGCAAGUCGAGCGGCAGCACAGUAAGCUCUUGCCCUUGCGGUUAGCGAGUGGCGGACGGGUGAGGAAUAGAUCGGAAUCUACUUUUUCGGGGGGGAUUACGUAGGGCAACUGACGCUAAUACAGCAUACUAUCUACGGCUGAAAUCAAGGGUUCUUCGCACCUUUCGCGUCUGAAAUAGCCGAUGCCGGAUUAGCUAGUUGGCUUGGUAAGGGCACACCAAGGCAACGAUACGUAGCUGGUCUGAGAGGAUGAUCAGCCACACUGGAACUGAGACACGGUCCAGACUCCUACGGGAGGCAGCAGUGGGGAAUAUUGGACAAUGGGCGCAGGCCUGAUCCAGCCAUACCGCGUGGGUGAAGAAGGUCUUCGGGUUGUAAAGCCCUGUUGUUGGGAAAGAAAAGAAGCAGGUUAAUCCGUCGCUGUUCUGACGGUACCCAAAGAAUAAGCACCGGCUAACUUCGUG
rnacentral:rRNA from 1 species